rnacentral:tRNA from 1 species
CGCGGGGUAGAGCAGCUAGGUAGCUCGUCGGGCUCAUAACCCGGAGGUCGUAGGUUCAAAUCCUACCCCCGCAACCA